GGAGGUUGGAACCAGCAAGGUUUCAAUGCCUACAGGAUAUAACAGGGGAGAAAGUAGUUACAAAAAUGAAAAUAACGACCAGUACCAAUUAAUUAUUUAACAUCUAACGGUGUCUGCACAAAGCUUAUUGGCUGCUGAUCGCGUAGAAAUUUAUUGAUUGUUCAAAAUGAAGUAACAAGCCACAUUCCCUAACAGCAACGUGGGAGUACCUAUACCACAUGAACUGCAGCAGAUGAAGAAGGCAGCUCACCACCACCUUCUUGUGAAAGAAUUUUAAAAAUGGAAUCUGAGGUUGCUUCACCUGGACAAUGCAUUUAAUUAUUGUAUUUUAGUUACAUUGGCAACUGAGUUCAUUCAGAUCAAUUAAACAACAGUUUGUUUCAAUGCGAAGUUGAAACUACUCCA